rnacentral:rRNA from 1 species
UACGUAGGUGGCAAGCGUUGUCCGGAUUUAUUGGGUUUAAAGGGUGCGUAGGCGGCUUUGUAAGUCAGUGGUGAAAUAUGGCAGCUCAACUGUCAGGGUGCCAUUGAUACUGCAGAGCUUGAGUACAGAUGAGGUAGGCGGAAUUGACGGUGUAGCGGUGAAAUGCUUAGAUAUCGUUAAGAACACCGAUAGCGAAGGCAGCUUACUGGGCUGUAACUGACGCUGAGGCACGAAAGUGUGGGGAUCAAACAGG